UACGAAGGGGGCUAGCGUUGCUCGGAAUCACUGGGCGUAAAGGGUGCGUGGGCGGGUCUUUAAGUCAGGGGUGAAAUCCUGGAGCUCAACUCCAGAACUGCCUUUGAUACUGAGGAUCUUGAGUACGGGAGAGGUGAGUGGAACUGCGAGUGUAGAGGUGAAAUUCGUAGAUAUUCGCAAGAACACCAGUGGCGAAGGCGGCUCACUGGCCCGUAACUGACGCUGAGGUGCGAAAGCGUGGGGAGCAAACAGG
rnacentral:rRNA from 1 species